rnacentral:rRNA from 1 species
UCCAGCAGCCAUAUCACUCUGCAGUUCACCACUGGCAGCCCCACUGGAGCUCAGCAGGUGGGAGCCUCGUCAGUACCUGGAUGGGAGGCUCCUGGGAAAGCUGAGGCUGCUGUUGGAA